rnacentral:rRNA from 1 species
AGUGAACGCUGGCGGCAGGCCUAAUACAUGCAAGUCGAACGGCAGCACAGCAGAGCUUGCUCUGUGGGUGGCGAGUGGCGGACGGGUGAGGAAUACGUGGGAAUCUGCCCAGUCGAGGGGGAUAACGUAGGGAAACUUACGCUAAUACCGCAUGCGCCCUUUGGGGGAAAGCCGGGGAGCUUCGGACCUGGCGCGAUUGGAUGAGCCGAAUUCGGAUUAGCAAGUUGGAGGGGUAAAGGCACACCAAGGCGACGAUCCGUAGCUGGUCGGAGAGGAUGAUCAGCCACACUGGAACUGAGACACGGUCCAGACUCCUACGGGAGGCGGCAGUAGGGAAUAUUGGACAAUGGGCGCAGGCCUGAUCCAACCAUGCCGCGUGAGUGAAGAAGGCCCUCGGGUUGUAAAGCUCUUUUGUUGGGGAAGAAAAGCCUUGGGUUAAUACCCUGAGGUUCUGACGGUACCCAAAGAAUAAGCACCGGCUAACUUCGUGCCAGCAGCCGCGGUAA